rnacentral:rRNA from 1 species
GACGAACGCUGGCGGCGUGCCUAAUACAUGCAAGUAGGACGCAGUUGCGAACGGGUGAGUAACGCGUAGGUAACUACCUAUUAGAGGGGGAUAACUAUUGGAAACGAUAGCUAAUACCGCAUACUAGUAGAUGGACCUGCGUUGUAUUAGCUAGUAGGUAGGGUAAUGGCCUACCUAGGCAACGAUACAUAGCCGAUCUGAUAGGGUGAACGGCCAAACUGGGACUGAGACACGGCCCCGAAUCCCACGGGAGGCAGCAGGUGGGAAUCUUCGGCAAAUGGGGGAACCCUGACCGAGCAACGGCGCGUGAGGGAAGAAGGUUCUCGGAUCGUAAAGCUCUGUUGUUACGGAAGCGGUACUUAACCAGAAAGGGACGGCUAACUACGUGCCAGCCGCCGCGGUAAUAC